CUGGCCCUGCUGGUGUGUAGUCGCGAUCUUCAGAGAAAUGUCCUUUAUGCUGAUAGAAAACGUCUAGUCAUCUAGGCAGCAUAACAUAAUUGGCGAUGAUGAGUUUGCUGACUGUUUGUGCUGUCAUUGUUCCAGGGCUCAGUUCCAAGCUGUGUGAGGAGAUCCGUGACACGUUUCGGUCACAUUUGACUGGAUCAGUGGCGCCGCACCAAAGUGCAGAGAAUCCCGUUCAACACUACAGCACACUGCUGAGUUUAGCCUCACUGCAAAGCAGAAUCCCUCUCUGUGAUGAAUACACACAUCACCUCACGCAUGGCUGGACUACUGCUGCCUGUCCACAGCCUCACCACAGUCAGCCAGACUCCUUCACCCCUCAGGCUUGUUCCAGAUGUGCCAUUACAAACACUUGUAUGAUGUCCAUCUGA
rnacentral:lncRNA from 1 species